UGGCGCGUCGUCUAACGGCAGGACAACGGUUUUUGGUACCGUUUAUCUAGGUUCGAAUCCUAGCGCGCCAA
rnacentral:tRNA from 1 species